GUGAGGAAUAUUGCGCAAUGGAGGCAACUCUGACGCAGCCAUGCCGCGUGCAGGAAGAAGGCGCUACGCGUUGUAAACUGCUUUUAACCGGGAAGAAACCCCAGGACGUGUCCUGGGUUGACGGUACCGGAGGAAUAAGCACCGGCUAACUUCGUGCCAGCAGCCGCGGUAAUACGAAGGGUGCAAGCGUUAUCCGGAUUCAUUGGGUUUAAAGGGUGCGUAGGCGGAGCGUUAAGUCAGUGGUGAAAUCCUGCAGCUUAACUGUAGACUUGCCAUUGAUACUGGCGCUCUUGAGUGCGCUUGAAGUGGGCGAAAUGUGCCGUGUAGCGGUGAAAUGCUUAGAUAUGGCACAGAACACCAAUUGCGAAGGCAGCUCACUAAGGCGAUACUGACGCUGAGGCACGAAAGCGUGGGGAUCGAACAGGAUUAGAUACCCUUGUAGUCC
rnacentral:rRNA from 1 species